AUCUAAAACCUGCAGGACACCGGCCCUCCAGGCCUGGAGACGUUGCUAUGGCAGGAAUGCCUCUUCGUUCCAGAGAAUGAAGUGUGGGAUUUGUGUCAGCAAAUUCAGUGAAUGUGGAGGUAGUGAGGCUGACACCAUCUGACCUGCUUUAGCUUGCCUGACGUCCAGCUCCUCUACUUCAUGCUGACUUAUUCAGUGUCUGAUGGCUUCUCUGUUCUGUGUCAGUGGGAGUAUUUGGAGCCACAUGUGGAAACAUCACGGUGUAUAUGGACAUUUUCUUUGAUUAAAAUGGUCCUGAUGAACCUGACUGAGCCUCAUACAACAUGCAGUCAAACCUCAGUGGCCCUCGCAUUAACAAACACAACCCCAAAUAUGGCUGAUUUCCAUUUUCAGGACCACAGGCCGCUUUUAUUCAGCACAGUAUGGAAGCGUUGAAGAACUGAUGUUACAGCAGGGAGCCAUAUCUUCUCCUUUCAGCACUUAGGACGAGGGGAGAGACGAUCAUUAUGUGAUCAAAAUGGACUGUCAGUGGGAAGCAGCUCUAAGCUGGGAUUAGUCUGAUAUGACAAGAUGUGCCGCCGUACAAGAGCUCCCCUAAGAAAAACACUGUGUCAAAUUACAUUUUGCAUAUCAAAAGGCAUUUUAUUAUGUUAUGGGCAAUUUCUCAAAUGGAUCUUUAUUACUCUGACUCUGCUCAACUCAAACAAGAUUCCCAGGAAUCACACUCACU